rnacentral:rRNA from 1 species
GUUGGUUCUACCCGAAGACGGUUUGCUAACCGCAAGGAGGCAGGCGACCACGGUAGGGUCAGCGACUGGGGUGAAGUCGUAACAAGGUAGCCGUAGGUGAACCUGCAGAAGGAUCA